AUUGAACGCUGGCGGCAGGCCUAACACAUGCAAGUCGAACGAGUGGCGGACGGGUGAGUAAUGUCUGGGCAACUGCCCGAUUGAGGGGUCUAACUACUGGAAACGUUAGCUAAUACCGCAUACCAUCGGAUGUGCCCAGAUGGAAUUAGCUAGUAGUUGGGGUAAUGGCUCUCCUAGGCGACGCUCCCUAGCUGGUCUGAGAGGAUGACCAGCCACACUGGGACUGAGACACGGUCCAGACUCCUACGGGAGGCAGCAGUUGGGAAUAUUACACAAUGGGCGCAAGCCUGAUGCAGCCAUGCCGCGUGUAUGAAGAAGGUCUUCGGGUUGUAAAGUACUGUCAGCGAGGAGGCGUUACUCAAAGAAGAAGCACCGGCUAACUCCGUGCCAGCAGCCGCGGUAAUUC
rnacentral:rRNA from 1 species